CUUAAAUACAAAAAAGAAAAUCUCACAUCCUACGCUUCCUUCCCCAAAAAGACACUGCUUUCUUUUCCUCCUCCAUCCUUCGUCGAGCUUUGAAAAGGAAAUUCAACCAAACCCAAUUCUCAAGAAGCAAGAAAUUCAUCCAAACCCAAUCCUCCAUCCCACGCAUCCCCGUCCUUCAUCGAUCUUCAGGAAACUUAAUGCUACCCUUCACCAAUCUUCCUCAGGUGUAAAUUGCAAAUUACAACAAAGUAGUUUCUCAAUCCAAGACAUCAGAAACCUUAAGCAUUAAACUAUGCCUGAGAGGAAGUUGUGUCCCAACAAUCUCUAUGGUGUCAUUUCUUUCUAUUUUAUUUUUUUAUUUUUUAUUUGUCACUCUGUGGUAGUCAAUUUUCUUUGAAGUUUUUUUGUCAAUUGAGCUAUGUAGACUGUUGAGAAUAUUAGACCAUCCUUGUGCUGAAUGAGACUUAGUUUUCAGGUAUCUUAA